rnacentral:rRNA from 1 species
UACGGAGGGUGCGAGCGUUGUCCGGAAUCACUGGGCGUAAAGGGCGCGUAGGCGGCCCGCUAAGUCGAACGUGAAAUCCCCGAGCUCAACUCGGGAACUGCGUCCGAUACUGGCGGGCUUGAAUCCGGGAGAGGGAUGCGGAAUUCCAGGUGUAGCGGUGAAAUGCGUAGAUAUCUGGAGGAACACCGGUGGCGAAGGCGGCAUCCUGGACCGGCAUUGACGCUGAGGCGCGAAAGCUAGGGGAGCAAACGGG